CGGAGGAAAAGAAACCAACAGGGAUUGCCCCAGUAACGGCGAGUGAAGCGGCAACAGCUCAAAUUUGAAAUCUGGCCCCUCGGGCCCGAGUUGUAAUUUGCAGAGGAUGCUUUUGGCGAGGCGCCGCCCGAGUUCCCUGGAACGGGACGCCGCAGAGGGUGAGAGCCCCGUCUGGCUGGCCGCCGAGCCUCUGUAAAGCUCCUUCGACGAGUCGAGUAGUUUGGGAAUGCUGCUCAAAACGGGAGGUAUAUGUCUUCUAAAGCUAAAUAUUGGCCAGAGACCGAUAGCGCACAAGUAGAGUGAUCGAAAGAUGAAAAGCACCUUGAAAAGGGGGUUAAACAGUACGUGAAAUUGCUGAAAGGGAAGCGCUUGCGACCAGACUUGGGCCCCUCGGAUCACCCGGCGUUCUCGCCGGUGCACUCCGCGUGGGGCACAGGCCAGCAUCGGUUCGCGCCGGGGGACAAAGGCGGCGGGAACGUGGCUCCCCAGGGAGUGUUAUAGCCCGCCGCGCAAUGCCCUGGCGCGGACCGAGGACCGCGCGCUCACGCGCAAGGAUGCUGGCGUAAUGGUCGCCAGCGACCCGUCUUGAAACA
rnacentral:rRNA from 2 species